UACAGCCAUAUCUCGUUGAAAGAACGGUUCUCCUACGGUCACCGAAUUUAAGCAACGUCAAGCCUAGUCAGUACCUAGAUGGGUGACCGCUUAGGAAAUACCAGGUGUUGUAAG